rnacentral:tRNA from 1 species
CCACGGUUAGCUCAACUGGACUAGAGCGAGAGUUUCCUAAACUCUAGGUUAUAGGUUCGAUUCCUGUACCGUGGA